rnacentral:rRNA from 1 species
GACGAACGCUGGCGGCGUGCCUAAUACAUGCAAGUCGAGCGAACAGACGAGGAGCUUGCUCCUCUGACGUUAGCGGCGGACGGGAGAGUCACACGUGUAUAACCUACCUAUCAGACUGGGAUAAUUUCGGGAAACCGGAGCUAAUACCGGAUAAUAUAUUGCACCGCAUUGUUCAAUAGUGAAAGACGGUUUUGCUGUCACUUAUAGAUGGCUCCGCGCCGCAUUAGCUGGUUGGUAAGGUAACGGCUUAUCAAGGCGACGAUGCGUAGCCGACCUGAGAGGGUGAUCGGCCACACUGGAACGGAGACACGGUCCAGACUCCUACGGGAGGCAGCAGUAGGGAAUCUUCCGCAAUGGGCGAAAGCCUGACGGAGCAACGCCGCGUGAGUGAUGAAGGUCUUCGGAUCGUAAAACUCUGUUAUUAGGGAAGAACAAAUGUGUAAGUAACUAUGCACGUCUUGACGGUACCUAAUCAGAAAGCCACGGCUAACUACGUG